GACGAACGCUGGCGGCGUGCCUAAUACAUGCAAGUAGAACGCACAGUUUAUACCGUAGCUUGCUACACCAUAAACUGUGAGUUGCGAACGGGUGAGUAACGCGUAGGUAACCUGCCCGGUAGCGGGGGAUAACUAUUGGAAACGAUAGCUAAUACCGCAUAAUAUUGAUUAUUGCAUGAUAAUUGAUUGAAAGAUGCUAUUGCAUCACUACCAGAUGGGCCUGCGUUGUAUUAGCUAGUAGGUGAGGUAACGGCUCACCUAGGCGACGAUACAUAGCCGACCUGAGAGGGUGAUCGGCCACACUGGGACUGGGACACGGCCCAGACUCCUACGGGAGGCAGCAGUAGGGAAUCUUCGGCAAUGGACGAAAGUCUGACCGAGCAACGCCGCGUGAGUGAAGAAGGUUUUCGGAUCGUAAAGCUCUGUUGUAAGAGAAGAACGGGUGUGAGAGUGGAAAGUUCACACUGUGACGGUAUCUUACCAGAAAGGGACGGCUAACUACGUG
rnacentral:rRNA from 1 species